rnacentral:miRNA from 14 species
UAACGUUGAGGAAUUUUAGAAC